rnacentral:rRNA from 1 species
CCUACGGGAGGCAGCAGUGAGGAAUAUUGGUCAAUGGCCGAGAGGCUGAACCAGCCAAGUCGCGUGAGGGAAGACGGCCCUACGGGUUGUAAACCUCUUUUGUCGGGGAGCAAAGCGAGUCACGUGUGACUCAUUGAGAGUACCCGAAGAAAAAGCCCCGGCUAACUACGUGCCAGCAGCCGCGGUAAUACGUAGGGGGCGAGCGUUAUCCGGAUUCACUGGGUGUAAAGGGAGCGUAGACGGCCAUGCAAGCCAGGGGUGAAAGCCCGGGGCCCAACCCCGGGACUGCCCUUGGAACUGCAUGGCUGGAGUGCGGGAGGGGCAGGCGGAAUUCCUGGUGUAGCGGUGAAAUGCGUAGAUAUCAGGAGGAACACCGGCGGCGAAGGCGGCCUGCUGGACCGCGACUGACGUUGAGGCUCGAAAGCGUGGGGAGCGAACAGGAUUAGAUACCCUUGUAGUC